CUUUCUCUAAGAAACAUAAAUUUCUCCAGGAAACAUAAGAAAGACAAAAAUACAGAAACUAGGUAAGCUCUGACCUUCACAAUCCAGAGAUAUUUGAGAGAAAGAAGCACAAAGAGGAGAAUGGAGUUGGCAAAAAUCACUUAGAGGAAUAUGAUCCAAUGAGGAAAAUAAUUGAAAUUUAAAUCACAUUUAAAAAUAACUCAAAUACACUUUUUGCACAGGAUCAACUAUCAUGUGGGCAUCAUCCCCACAUCCAGAUUAUGUGAAGUGACUUUGGAUGAACAAUACCAAAUAUGUGAGGAAAGUAUUUUUCAGUGGAGCAAAUUUUGGAAAAUGGUCCUGUUUGAGAUAUCUUAAAAUCGAAUGGUGAUGGAGCAUUUGAGGAAGCUCAAGUUUUGAGGUAGGAACCCAGCAGAACAUAGCCCUGAAGAAUAUGGGCUUGGGCCAGAUUUUGCUUUGAGUCCUGGUACUACCUCUUGCUGAAGGUGUAAUAUUGGGCAUAUCAUUUAACCUUUGUAAGCCUCAGUUUUCUCACUGUGAAAAGGAAUUCCAUGAGUCAUUCAACAAACGUUUGUUGAGUCCCAAUGUAUGCCAUGUACACUGCAAAACAGUGAGAUGAUAGUAUAAAUCACCUUAUACAAAUGGAAAUGUUAAAUAGAAAUCAAAGUAGAAGCUAUCUUGACUAACUCCCACUUAGCUAAUUAGUCAACAAAUUUUAUUUUGUUGGUGAAACCUACUGGAGGAAGCUCAAGGCAUGAGAAUUGUGCACAGACAAGAGGAUUCUUGCUAAAACAUCCAUGCGCUUCUGCUCCUAGAAGUCUUUUAAAACGUUUAGACCUGCUGCACUUGUUAUUAUAAUUAAUUUGUUAUACAAACUGAAGAAAUAUGAAUGUGUAAAGAAAUGCUUCUCUAAAAACUAAGUUAAAUAUUGUGGAAAAUUGAAAAUGGCAAAUCAUUAAACAAAAUGUCAUUUUAACUAGGGAUAGCCAAAGCAAUUAUAAAAGAUGAGGAAAAUUUAGAAAAUCUUGAAGUAGAAUGUGUUCAAUGAAUUUUCAAGUGUCUUAAGUUCUUGAUAUCUUUACA
rnacentral:lncRNA from 1 species